CAUGAGCCUGGGACGUCUGUCUGUAUGUAGGUCACAUGUUCUCUCCGUGUUCCCUGGGGUUUCUGUUCCUCUCCCACCUUCCAGAGACAUGCAGGCUGGGUGUGUGAUUGGCUGCUCUCGUCUCUGUCUGGGGGGGAGGGGUAUGUGUAUUUUGUGCUUGGGUUUAUUAGAAGAACAACCACCUCUGUCUCCGGAACUGCAGAAAAACUAAACCAGCCUUUUCUGCUGAAACGCCUACUCGUCUGCAUGAACCUCUGGUUUUAUAGAGCCUGCCUGCUGGUAUUAGACAUCAGUCCUUACAGGCCAGAAAUCACAGAGAAAGAAACUACUGGAGUAUUGGACAACCCACGGCUUUGCCAGUUGGGAUCUACUAGGUGUUAAAAGUUGUGCUGGUGGGCGACUGGGGCCGGACUGUGUAAGAGGGACCUCCCAGGGUAUACCCCCGAAACAGAGCCCGACGCCCCCGCCUUCCUGGAGUCCCACUUUUCUCCGCCGACUCUCUGGGCUGCCCCUGCGCUGCCGCCCACGCUGCAGGGCUCUUAUACGUGUGCAGCUACCCCAGGUGGGUUGCAGAAUCGCAGACGCUGAGUAUCGUUGUUUCCGGAGCCUGGACUCCUGUCGAGCUCACGCGUGGGGCAGAAGCAGGAGUCCGGAGAGAUGAGGGACUGGUCAGAUGGGGAGGGCCGAGAGCACAGAGGAAAAAAAUCUGAAAAAGAGGAAAAGGCUGGUGGCGAAGGCGGAUCUCCAGCUCAGUUCAGGAAUACAACUUCGGGAUCUUCAGAAGAGCUGUCCAAGAGGCAGCCUAACACCUAGAAAACCCACCCUGGCAGCAGCAGCAUUUCUCAUUUCCCUUUUGUAGACAUUGCCAGUCACUUCUGUACUGCAGUGAAGCGCCUGCACUUCGCCCGCGUCUGCCUCUGCCUCGUCCUGGCUUCCUCUUGGUGAAGCGUGCAGCCAAGCUCCUACACCGGACUGCACCCGGGUGCCAAGCAGGAAUGACUGACAGACUAUGAGCACAAACAAAACAUUGUGCGUUUUUCCAUGCUCAUCGGGGUGUCUUGUCUGUAGGUGACGUAUGUGAUUAUUUCAGCCAUGUGAAGCAGUGAUCCCAGGUUACAGUUUGAACAUGUGUCUCUGUGCGUAGAGGAGGUGUGUCGGAGCUUUGCACCCCAAAUUUUGCUCUUCUGUCCUUUCUUUCAAUCUUUCUUCCUCCUUUUCAUCCCCUCCCCCCUUCCUGGCAGAUUAGAAUUCAUUAGCAAUCAAAGAGUCUCUAGAGAACUCAGGCUCUUAAUUACCUACUCAUUUGCAUUUUUGCAUAUUAAUGACUGCGGAGUUUUGUGUUUUUUACUGCAGUGGUUUAAAGGCGCCUCGCCCCGAUUCUCUCGGGAGCAGGAUCGCCGGGGGGCAGGGCAGCGUAGGCGAGGGGGGUGGGGUGAGGACGUGUUCCCGGGGGGCCCUAUGGGACCCCAGGCUAGAGGGGGGAUACAAAGAGGUGAUUAUGGGAAGUGGGGCUACAGGGGAGCUGACCCCCAGCUCUCACACUUACCUGUAUUAGACACCACAGGUGUGAACAGAUCUGCAGGGUGAAUCAAGGGUCAAAGCAGAAUUCCAGCUCAACCCAGCUUAGAUGAAGAUGAGGAAAUAGUGCAUGAAAAACGAAUCCUUGUCUUCACUCCACCUUCUAAGUCUACUGCACUAGAGUCUGGUGACUCGUUUUUGGCUUUCAUCCCCUCUUUUACCACUGAAGCCAUACGAACUGAGAUACAGGGGACUUGAUCUGAGGCUGAAAACCCAGAAUUCAGCCUGUGGAGCUCACUGUUGACACAUCACGUUCAGGGCUGAUUCUCACAUCCUGCCAGAGCUGGAGUCUAUCCUGGCAAGGAAGGACACACGCCGGACAGGACGCCAGUCCAUCACAGGGCUGAAAGAUGCCAGCAAGCACACACUCACACCGGGCCCAAUUUCCCAUAAGUCAGUUAACCCACCAACAUGUCUUUGGACUGUGGGAGGAAACCAGGGCACCCAGAGGAAACCUGUGCAAACAUGGGGAGAACAUGCAAA